UACGGGAGGCGACAGUAGGGAAUCUUCCGCAAUGGACGAAAGUCUGACGGAGCAACGCCGCGUGAGCGAAGAAGGCCUUCGGGUCGUAAAGCUCUGUUGUCAGGGAAGAACAAGUACCGGAGUAACUGCCGGUACCUUGACGGUACCUGACGAGAAAGCCACGGCUAACUACGUGCCAGCAGCCGCGG
rnacentral:rRNA from 1 species